CACCCCGGGCAAGUUCACCUCUCUCUCUCUCUCUCUCUCUCUCUCUUGAGUAGUAUCAUGUACAUGGCUCUGUUGAAGUUGCAUGAAGAGGAGCAUCCUCCAGCAUCGUUCAUGGCUCCCGCGUCUCUCUUUUGGAUGUUGUUCUCCUGGCCUCUGCAGGAUCCUCCUUCACAUUGCUACUAAUGCUAUUGUAUACACAAACAGUGUUGGAGUCCUGAAAGAAUAAAACAAAGGCUUAGCAUGUCUACGCUACCUUCCAUGGAUGACGGACACAAGGAAUCCAGUAGAACGUAUCAUUUCAAUCUCUGUCGGGGUCACUUUAUGUCUCCAGCAAGCAUUGACUUGACCCUCAAAGCCAUUAGGGGAUUGCAUCCCAUUGGCUGAUAUUGCUUUGACAUAUUCCUGCAUGAUGGACGAGUUUGCCAUUGAAGUCAACUUUCAAUGCCAUAACAUGUCAAGGAUCAAAUAUGGCAAAGUUGUGUUUCAAAGUAGCAUUGAACCUUAUGUAUAGAUAUCAAGCAAGCCAAUCAGACAAGCAUCUAAGCUCUGAGAUAAAGAUUGGCUCGGCAACUCGGGGCAGACUAUUCUUCUGAAAAAAGUUUCAAGAUGCACUAAGGAAUAUAAAUGGCGGUCCUUUAAUGCGAGGUGGCUGUUGCAGUGCUUGGACAUGCCUCUUUCAGUUCAGAAUGCAAAAAAAGGAACAAUCAGAGGAACCUUAAAUUCAUUUGCAGAUUUCGUGGAUAUGCAACCUUUUUUUCAAGGCCAUGAUACGUGCCUUUUAAACUUGAUGAUUUUGAGGUUUCAACUCUAUUUCUUAGGCAAUCUUGCUGGCUUAUUCAUGCUAUUUUCCUUUACAAACGCAAAGUUCUAAACAUGUUUUGGAAACUUAUCCUGCGGGCUGACCUUCA